GGCCAAAAUUAAAAAUGUUUGUUUCCCCUCCCCCCACCCGGGUCAAAAAAUUAUUUUCCACAAAAAAAUCGAAAUUAUUUUUUUCCGGAAAAUAAUUUGUUUCCAUUUUUGGAAAGUGCUUGAAAGCAGAAGGAUUGAUAAUCUAAAUAAAUACACUCAAAUUGAGCACAAACAACUGAUAAGUGGCCUGGACUGGACAAGUCAACCCAUUCAUGUGACCAUGCUAUGACAAUCACAAUCAGUUAAAAAAAAAAGAACCUGCCUUCCUGGUCUGUUUACAAAGGGUAGACCCGGGGGAGGGGAAACAGACAUUCUUUUAAAUGUGGCCUUGAAUCAGUAAAAGAAGAAAGAUAUACUUAUUUUUAAGAAGUUUAAUUUCAAUAAAAAGAAAACAGAACAGAUAUUCCUUAAACAAUAUACAAAACCAUGCUUUUCAUCCUCUUCUUCAUGUUGGCAGUGAAAUAAAUUCAGUUCAUUUACUGCAAUAUCUUUUUUUUGUAGGGACAAUUGUUAGCACUUGAUAUCACAAAAUUAGUCACAUGAUUUUUAUUUUCGAAACAAUAUGUAUAAAUAUUAUAUUUCUAAACCACAUACACUAUAUCUGACAGUUUACAUUUAAAUUUACAAAUAAAAUAUCACAGACUUGCAUACAAUAAUAAAAAAUAACAUCAAAAUUGUUUCAAUAAAUACUGUUAAAAUUGAUUUCUGGGCGUCAAUCUUUUUCUUUCGAAAAAUACU
rnacentral:lncRNA from 1 species